AAUGGACGUAGUGUCCUAUGUCUGUAAUCCCAGUCUCUUGGGAGUUGAGGUUGGAGAACUGCUUGAGCUCAGGAAUUUGAGGCCAGCCUGGUAAUACAGUAAGACUGUGUCUCAA
rnacentral:sRNA from 1 species